rnacentral:lncRNA from 1 species
ACACAGUCCUGGAAUUCUUAAUCUUUGUUCUUUGCCCAACAUAGCAAAAACAGGUAAACUGCUCCUAUACGGUGGAUCUCCGUAGUCACUGUAGUAGAUAUGCGCUCUACUGCAGUGGAAAAAAUACAUUUCCAUUUUAGGUCUUAUCAUUAGUUACUUGGAUUGUAUCCAUUUUGACUGGGUUAUUUUUAUUCACUGUCUAGGCAAGAGGUAUAAAGCUUUCUUCUCUUGUGGCGGAGGCCUCCAGCAAGCGUCUUUGCGGGGGCUGGCGCGUGGGGUGCUGAUGCGAUACAGACACCUGCCCUCCGGGAGUCGUGGCGAGACUUCCUGCACAGUUCAGCUGUCAAAGAACUUCCUGACACAUCUGCUAAAGGCCUCUCUGAAGGGUGACGCUUUUAAUGCAAAUUUCUACGUGGACAGGGCUGUGGGAAGAUGCUGGUGUUUGCUGCUAAAGUCCGUUGUUUCCCCACUGUGGUUUUAGGGCUGCAGGACAGCUGCUGGGGAGAGACCUCCGAGGAGAUGGGCACGUUUACGCUGUGGAUUCCUCCCAGCAGUCUGCCCACAGGAAGACAUCUGAGAGCCCAGCUGGUGCUGUUUACCUCGGCCGAACAAGGCUUUCCAAACACGUGGCUGUAGCGAACAGGCAGGUCCCCUUCCCUUCCCAACGCUCUGCUGGGUCUCGUUGGCCAUGUUAAGAACAUUUCUUAGUGUUUCUUUUUCCGUAUCGGCUGAGUGGAGUUGCUGGAGUGAGCUGGGGCCAUCUGUCCUGAGGCUGAAGAGCGCAGCCUGCUGUCAGCUAUCUUAAGCUGUUCACAAAUCAGCAGUGUCACAUGGAGGACUUAGCAAGGAGUCUCACACUGAACUGCAGUCUGUUGUGAUUAAAACCAGUCUGCCCUACUUGGCAUAUUGGUUCAAGAUGUUGCUGUUUAGUGGGGAGCACUCUAGUAAUGCAGGCUCAGCUUUCCUGCCUCUCUGACUGUGUCGUCAUCCUCCUCCCUUUCAUGCAAGUUUGUCUGGAUCCAUAACAUACCGGUUGGAAAAUUAAAGUUUUCUGCAUAGCCAACACAGAG